AUUCAGCUGACGAGUCCUAAAUAGGAAGAAACACACGUUAAACUGAAU
rnacentral:hammerhead_ribozyme from 1 species